rnacentral:rRNA from 1 species
CACGUAGGGUGCGAGCGUUACUCGGAAUUACUGGGCGUAAAGCGUGCGCAGGCGGUUUUGUAAGCCCGAUGUGAAAUCCCCGGGCUUAACCUGGGAAUGGCAUUUGGGACUGCAAAGCUUGAGUGUGGCAGAGGGGACUGGAAUUCCUGGUGUAGCAGUGAAAUGCGUAGAGAUCAGGAGGAAUACCGAUGGCGAAGGCAGGUCCCUGGGCUGACACUGACGCUCAUGCACGAAAGCGUGGGGAGCAAACAGG